CACGUAAGCACCAAGCGUUGUCCGGAUUUAUUGGGCGUAAAGAGCUCGUAGGCGGUUCAGUAAGUCAGGUGUGAAAUCUUUGGGCUUAACCCAAAGCGUGCACUUGAUACUGCUGUGACUUGAGUUCGGUAGGGGAGUGGGGAAUUCCUAGUGUAGCGGUGAAAUGCGCAGAUAUUAGGAGGAACACCGGUGGCGAAGGCGCCACUCUGGGCCGAAACUGACGCUGAGGAGCGAAAGCGUGGGUAGCAAACAGG
rnacentral:rRNA from 1 species